rnacentral:rRNA from 1 species
ACGCCGUAAACGAUGAGUGCUAGGUGUUAGACCCUUUCCGGGGUUUAGUGCCGCAGCUAACGCANUAAGCACUCCGCCUGGGGAGUACGACCGCAAGGUUGAAACUCAAAGGAAUUGACGGGGGCCCGCACAAGCGGUGGAGCAUGUGGUUUAAUUNGAAGCAACGCGAAGAACCUUACCAGGUCUUGACAUCCCUCUGACCGCUCUAGAGAUAGAGUUUUCCUUCGGGACAGAGGUGACAGGUGGUGCAUGGUUGUCGUCAGCUCGUGUCGUGAGAUGUUGGGUUAANNNNNNNNNCGAGCGCAACCCCUAUUGUUAGUUGCCUUCAUUAAGUUGGGCACUCUAGCGAGACUGCCGGUAAUAAACCGGAGGAAGGUGGGGAUGACGUCAAAUCAUCAUGCCCCUUAUGACCUGGGCUACACACGUGCUACAAUGGUCGGUACAACGAGUUGCGAGCCGGUGACGGCAAGCUAAUCUCUGAAAGCCGAUCUCAGUUCGGAUUGGAGGCUGCAACUCGCCUCCAUGAAGUCGGAAUCGCUAGUAAUCGCGGAUCAGCACGCCGCGGUGAAUACGUUCCCGGGCCUU